CUUUGUGACUUAUACCUAUUGUUGCCUCGGCGCAGGCCGGCCUCUUCACUGAGGCCCCCUGGAAACAGGGAGCAGCCCGCCGGCGGCCAACCAAACUCUUGUUUCUAUAGUGAAUCUCUGAGUAAAAAAACAUAAAUGAAUCAAAACUUUCAACAACGGAUCUCUUGGUUCUGGCAUCGAUGAAGAACGCAGCGAAAUGCGAUAAGUAAUGUGAAUUGCAGAAUUCAGUGAAUCAUCGAAUCUUUGAACGCACAUUGCGCCCUCUGGUAUUCCGGAGGGCAUGCCUGUUCGAGCGUCAUUUCAACCCUCAAGCCUGGCUUGGUGAUGGGGCACUGCCUGUAAUAGGGCAGGCCCUGAAAUCUAGUGGCGAGCUCGCCAGGACCCCGAGCGUAGUAGUUAUAUCUCGCUCUGGAAGGCCCUGGCGGUGCCCUGCCGUUAAACCCCCAACUUCUGAAAAUUUGACCUCGGAUCAGGUAGGAAUACCCGCUGAACUUAAG
rnacentral:rRNA from 1 species